rnacentral:pre_miRNA from 1 species
AAAAAAAAUAUCGGACCGUCGGUCUACCGAGCAAUAUCACCCGCUCGGUGGAAGAUCUUCCCUUUGUCGUGUACC